rnacentral:rRNA from 1 species
CAGCAGCCGCGGUAAUACGUAGGUGGCGAGCGUUAUCCGGAAUGAUUGGGCGUAAAGGGUGCGUAGGUGGCACGAUAAGUCUGGAGUAAAAGGGAGCGGCUCAACCGCUGUUGGCUCUGGAAACUGUCGAGCUAGAGAGCAGGAGAGGGCGAUGGAAUUCCAUGUGUAGCGGUAAAAUGCGUAGAUAUAUGGAGGAACACCGGUGGCGAAGGCGGUCGCCUGGCCUGCAACUGACACUGAAGCACGAAAGCGUGGGGAGCAAAUAGGAUUAGAUACCCUAGUAGUCCACGCCGUAAACGAUGAGGACUAAGUGUUGGGGGAACUCAGUGCUGCAGUUAACGCAAUAAGUCCUCCGCCUGGGGAGU